UUAUAUUUGGACCUUUUUACAGUGUGAGUCAGUUCGACGAGGAUGAGGAAGGAAGUGUUAUAAUCAAGGGGAAAGUAACGUACUGCAAAAACCCCUGUGAGGUUGGAGAUACAAGGGAGAAGAGUAAAGUUGACGAAGAUUCUAUGAAGUACUGUACACCUUGCAGUUCAAACUCGCAUCUAAUAAUAAAUCUGAACAAUGUCUCUGAGCUGCUGUUGGAUGAAAUGUUGUUCCCAGAGGACAAAUAUGGUCUAGCGUACAUCUUUACUAACAACAUAACAGUCUUU